AAGUAAUGACCCUCCGCCGGCUCCUCGUCCAUCGCAUCCCGACGUCCGCCAUGGAAGGUCGAAAAGUCUCGCCGCUCUCAGGAUUCGUGAAUUUCUGGCCCACAUGACGAACAUUGGGGUCCAGAAAGCAGAAUGUGGAUAGAUCUGACUUAACAUUAUAAAGAUGAAGUUGAAGGAAGCUAAUACUGGUGGCUUAAAAGCAACACAAGGCUGAAGUACUGGUUUAUGAAGAAAUGCUGUAUAGUUGUGUGGCUGGGCAGAAAUGAAGUUCUCACAUUGUAGUGGUCUAAUAGAUAUUGAGGCUGACAUUCGGCAUUCAAAUGACUUGGACAUGCUUGCAGAUGAGGUAUUAAGACUGGCUUUCAACAGUCGGCCAACUUGGAUGCACUUGCAAGAAAGGUAAUGAGUUUGGGUUUUGACAGUCGAGCGACUUGGAUGCACAUGCGAAAGGUAUGAUUCCAAUUAUAACUAGAUGCUACUUCAACAUGGAUGCAGUAGCUGAUUUGUCAACUCUGUUAUGAUAGCCUUUAUCUGGAAUGACCAUCUUCUAUCGCACAAAAGAGCUGGAAGGACUGCAAUAAUGGAAUACUGGGAGGUGAAGGUGAAUAUUCCUGCCAGCCAGCAUCUGUGAAGAAAGUGCAAUAAAAGAAUAUAAAUUUG